UACGUAGGGGGCAAGCGUUGUCCGGAUUUAUUGGGCGUAAAGAGCGUGUAGGCGGCCAGAUAAGUCCGCUGUGAAAUCUCGAGGCUCAACUUCGAGCUGUCGGUGGAAACUGUCUGGCUAGAGUCCGGAAGAGGAGAAUGGAAUUCCUGGUGUAGCGGUGAAAUGCGCAGAUAUCAGGAGGAACACCAAUUGCGAAGGCAGCUCGCUGGGACGUUACUGACGCUGAGACGCGAAAGCGUGGGGAGCAAACAGG
rnacentral:rRNA from 1 species